rnacentral:tRNA from 2 species
GUGCCCUUAGCUUAAUGGAUAGAGUGGUGGUUUUCUAAGCCUUCAGAUAUAGGUUCGAGUCCUAUAGGGCACG